AUGCCACUACAGGUGAGAACAUUCCUUCAUACGCGGCCGAGACGGGGCCCCACAGGUCAGCGCCACGAACGCGAACGUACGCUCGCGGCAAAUGAUGAGCUCUCGGUCCAAUCAGACUCCACCACCUCCCCUCCCGCGCCGCCACCACCUCCCGGGCCCCACCGCCACCACACGCUGGCGGAAGGAACCGUUUCUGGGGCCCGCAUGGAAGUGAGAGAUGCCCUCCCCCACUUCGCCUUGGCGUCUCCCCGUGCUCCCCGUGGUCAACUCGCGGCUUCCCCAGACGCUGACCGGCGAGGAAAUAGGCGGAGGUCGGGACACCCAAAGCGCCGAACACCUUGCGCGCACCACUUCCUCCGCCAUGGGCGCGCCAUGAGACACCACCACCCGUAG
rnacentral:rRNA from 1 species